CCUUUGUUGUUUUAUGCUAGUCACCUUGGGUUCACGUGCGACCAUGCAUGCGACGCCUUGAGGCUGAAACUUGAGUGUCAUCGACCCUCCAUCACCAGCCGCCUAGUCGGUUUCAAGCUCUCUCUGCGCCAUCCGCUACCACGUGUCAAGCGGUCGUAUCACCUGCCUCACCCACGCCCCUCUCUCCCACCUUUACCCCCUCGAGGAAGCACUAGCAGCGACGGGAACGGCAAACGGCAAACCUGCAUGUCUGACCCGCAGCAUCCAAGACAACAGGGAAGCGCUCCUCGUCAAGGAGGAUGGAGAGGCAUGCCGGCCGCGCCGAAUUCACAGCUGGAUGCGGAGCUUGUGGAGAGCACGUUGGCGACCCCCUCGCGGCUUCCGCCGUCAGGUCAAUGCCCACAGCGCAGAACGGUAGCGGCGGCGCAAUCCGCCGCCAGCAGCGAUUUCCCCUGCAUCGCCCCACAGCCGUUCGACGCGUACGUAGUGCUGGACUUCGAGGCUACGUGCGAGGCAGACAGGCGCAUCGCCGACGCGGAGGUGAUCGAGUUUCCAAUGAUCCUGGUCGACGCUCGCACCGCCACACCGGUCGCGGAGUUUCAGCGGUAUGUGCGACCAGUGAAGAAUCCCGUGCUCUCGCGCUUCUGCACCGAGCUGACAGGCAUCACGCAGGAUAUGGUGAGUGGCCGUGAUCCGUUUCCUGUGGUAUACUGCGAGGCACUGCAGUUUCUUGCCGAGGCCGGACUCGGCGAUGCGCCGCCCAUGCGCAGCUACUGCGUCGUCACAUGCGGCGACUGGGACCUGAAGACGAUGCUGCCGGCGCAGAUGCGUGUUAGUGGACAGCAAGGGACUCCAUUGUCGUUUCAGCGGUGGUGCAACCUGAAGAAGUGCAUGUCACAGCUGGGCUUCGGCAACGGGAGUGGGUGCGGCGGCGCCGCGCCGCCGCUUCGACCGUCUGGGAUGCCUGACAUGCUGCAGAUGCUCGGCCUCCCGCUGCAGGGGCGUCAUCAUAGCGGCAUUGACGACUGCCGCAACCUUACCGCGGUUCUGUGCGCACUGCUGAGGCGCGGCCUCGUCAUUGACGUCACUUUUUCCACUGCGCCCUUUCGUCGCUGGCAUGCGCCGACUGAGGCGCAGCUUCCUGCCUUGGACGCGCUGCCGAGCACGUUGGCCGACGGCGCGGCGCAGCACUCAGGGGAUGUGCCUUCACCGCCGCGGUCGCAUGCUCGGACAGAGGGCGACGCACCAAAACCAAAGAAGGGGCGUUCAGCAUAUCGGCACGCAUCUUCAGUCGACUUCAUUUUGCCAACUCUUGUCCUUGACGCGAAUCGCGACGCCGUGCAGGAGCUUCUCUCCGACACGAACGCCGCCGACGCUCCUUCGCGAGUGUUCGAUGAGGAGGAACUCAAGACGGCGUCUAAGUUCAUGUCUACCCUACUCCGCCACAAGGCGAUCCAGUGGCGGGUGCCUAUCACCUCCAACGGCUACGUGCUGCUCGACGACGUCCUACGUCAGCCACAGAUGAGGAAGCAACACGUCUCAGUGCAGGAUGUCGCCAGGAUCGUGCGCGACUCCGACAAGCAGCGCUACCGGUUAGCGUAUGGUGCGGCAGAUGGCCGUCUCUACAUUGCUGCUGUGCAAGGGCACAGCAUCGAUGGUGUUGAGCCGCAGCUGCGAACGCUGACGAGCGUGGAGGAGGUACCGGUGGCUGUUCACGGCACCUACUGGGCGGCCUGGAAGGCGAUCCAGCAGUGCGGUUACCUGAGCACCAUGAGUAGGCAGCACAUCCACUUCGCCAAGGGGCUCAUUAACGACGAGCAGGUGGUAAGCGGCAUGCGCAAGAACGUGCAGCUCUUCGUCUACCUGGAUGUCGCGGCAGUGCUUGCGGAUGGCGUGGCACUCUACGAGAGCUCCAACGGCGUCAUUCUCACCCCCGGUGUAGGCCACACACGGCAGCUGCCUCUCAAGUACGUGGCCAAGGUGGUGGACCGAAGCAAUGGCCGCACAAUCUACCCUGCGUGAUGCUGUGCGUGGCGCGAGUGGGCUCAGUCGCUGCUGAUGGAAAAGUGUUAUGUGUAUUUAGCGCGCGCGCACAGAGAGCCGCGCCCACGCACGCGCGCAGGCGUUUGGCAGUUGAGGAUGCGGUGGAGGAGCACGUGAGUCUACCAUCAUGUGUCGUGCUUUCGGUUUAUGCGUUGUUGUUGCUCGCGUCGACGCGGCGGACUGACGACGUCCGUCCUCUUCCUCGCAAUUCUUCUUCGGUUUCCAUCAUCGCGUCCUCUUCCCACCCCAUCCUCCCCACAUGCACGCGCGCACACGCACUCGCUUCUGGAGGUCCUCUCUUUCUCUGUGCAUGCUCGCCUGCGUCUGUGCGUUUGCCCCCUCUUUUCCAUCGUGGCGUCGACGCUGCUGAUGAUGCCACUCACUCCCGCGCUGCGUGACACCACGAACUUCCUGAGCUCUUUGUUUCUGCCUGACGCUUGCGUGUGUGCACAUGUGCGGUGAUAAACUCCACGCUACACCUGGCUUUGAUGAUCCUCUCCUUUGCAUCCUCGUCCUCUGCUCCG
rnacentral:misc_RNA from 1 species